rnacentral:rRNA from 1 species
GACGGGGGGGGCAAGUGUUCUUCGGAAUGACUGGGCGUCAAGGGCACGUAGGCGGUGAAUCGGGUUGAAAGUGAAAGUCGCCAAAAAGUGGCGGAAUGCUCUCGAAACCAAUUCACUUGAGUGGGACAGGGGAGAGUGGAAUUUCGUGUGUAGGGGUGAAAUCCGUAGAUCUACGAAGGAAGGCCAAAAGCGAAGGCAGCUCUCUGGGUCCCUACCGACGCUGGGGUGCGAAAGCAUGGGGAGCGAACAGG